ensembl:ncRNA lncRNA:CR45743 long non-coding RNA:CR45743
ACUCGUGUAGUCGGCAAAAAGCGUGUAUUUCGGAAAACUCACUUGGUUUUUCAACCUUAUGCCCGCCCAUCGAACAUGGACCACUGCUUUCUGGUUUUUGUCUUUGCUUCGGUCACUACUAAUGAGCAAGGACAUUAAAUGAAAAAUGUUGACAACUUUUCGGGGCAACAUGUUUUCGUUGCGCUUUACAGAUUCUCACUACAUGUUGUAAUUGAUUUGCCUCGACUUGCUGCUCUGUUGUUGUGGCUUUUCAGCCUAGAAGGCGGUCCAAGUCCUUUCCCAUUUCGCAAACAAACAAAUACAAGGCUAAAGGAGGAAAGGAAAAGAAAUGCCUAAGAGCGGCACUUUGGCAAGGAGCCAAAAAAACAUUGCGCCCAGGACGAGGACUUUUGUGUUUUUAUGUGAGCGCUGACAAGAAGGCACCCGGUAAAAGGCAAAGAUACAAAAAAAAAAAAAAAAAAAAAAUGAAAAAUAUGAAGGAGUAGAAGGAAGGAAAACUGUGUUACAACUACUGAAAAACUUGUUAUCUUAAUGGAUAUUUUGUAGUUCGUUUGUGGCCAAAAUUGACUCACUCAUUGCUUCUCCGCCCGCUGC